GGGUCAGUAGGUUGGUCGUGCCACCGGUACGUACUGGUCUCACUGAUUCCUCCUUCCUGAAGAACCGUAAUGCCAUUAAUUUGGUGUUGCGGGGAAACAGGACUGUUGCUUUGAGAAAAUUAGAGUGUUUAAAGCAAGCUAACGCUUGAAUACAUUAGCAUGGAAUAAUGAAAUAGGACGAUCGAUCCUAUUUUGUUGGUUUCUAGGAUUGACGUA
rnacentral:rRNA from 1 species